GAUGAACGCUGGCGGCGUGCCUAAUACAUGCAAGUCGAGCGAACAGACGAGGAGCUUGCUCCUCUGACGUUAGCGGCGGACGGGUGAGUAACACGUGGAUAACCUACCUAUAAGACUGGGAUAACUUCGGGAAACCGGAGCUAAUACCGGAUAACAUGUUGAACCGCAUGGUUCAACAGUGAAAGACGGUUUUGCUGUCACUUAUAGGUGGAUCCGCGCCGCAUUAGCUAGUUGGUAAGGUAACGGCUUACCAAGGCAACGAUGCGUAGCCGACCUGAGAGGGUGAUCGGCCACACUGGAACUGAGACACGGUCCAGACUCCUACGGGAGGCAGCAGUAGGGAAUCUUCCGCAAUGGGCGAAAGCCUGACGGAGCAACGCCGCGUGAGUGAAGAAGGUCUUCGGAUCGUAAAACUCUGUUAUUAGGGAAGAACAAAUGUGUAAGUAACUAUGCACGUCUUGACGGUACCUAAUCAGAAAGCCACGGCUAACUACGUG
rnacentral:rRNA from 1 species